CCAGGGUGGCAGCAGUGGGGAAUAUUGGACAAUGGGCGAAAGCCUGAUCCAGCCAUGCCACGUGUGUGAAGAAGGCCUUCGGGUUGUAAAGCACUUUCAGUGGGGAAGAAAGCCUUGGGGCUAAUACCCUCGAGGAAGGACAUCACCCACAGAAGAAGCACCGGCUAACUCCGUGCCAGCAGCCGCGGUAAUACGGAGGGUGCGAGCGUUAAUCGGAAUUACUGGGCGUAAAGCGCGCGUAGGCGGUCUGAUAAGCCGGUUGUGAAAGCCCCGGGCUCAACCUGGGAACGGCAUCCGGAACUGUCAGGCUAGAGUGCAGGAGAGGAAGGUAGAAUUCCCGGUGUAGCGGUGAAAUGCGUAGAGAUCGGGAGGAAUACCAGUGGCGAAGGCGGCCUUCUGGACUGACACUGACGCUGAGGUGCGAAAGCGUGGGUAGCAAACAGGAUUAGAUACCCCGUAGUC
rnacentral:rRNA from 1 species